rnacentral:rRNA from 1 species
UUUACACGGGAAGAACCCCCCGACUUGUCGGGGACUGACGGUACCGUAUGAAUAAGCAUCGGCUAACUCCGUGCCAGCAGCCGCGGUAAUACGGAGGAUGCAAGCGUUAUCCGGAUUUAUUAGGUAUAAAGGGUGCGUAGGCGGACCUGUUAGUCAGUGGUGAAAUACUAGGGCUUAACCCUAGAACUGCCAUUGAUACUGCAGGUCUUGAGUACAGUUGAGGUAGGCGGAAUGUGUGGUGUAGCGGUGAAAUGCUUAGAUAUCACACAGAACACCGAUUGCGAAGGCAGCUUACUAAGUUGUAACUGACGCUGAUGCACGAAAGCAUGGGGAGCAAACAGGAUUAGAUACCCUGGUAGUCCAUGCCGUAAACGAUGAUCACUCGCUGUACGUCCAUUAGGAUGUGUGGCUGAGCUAACGCAUUAAGUGAUCCACCUGGGGAGUACGGCGGCAACGCUGAAACUCAAAGGAAUUGACGGGGGCCCGCACAAGCGGAGGAACAUGUGGUUUAAUUCGAUGAUACGCGAGGAACCUUACCUGGGUUUAAAUGUAGGACGCAAGUCACGUGAAAGCGAGACCCUCCUUCGGGACGGACUACAAGGUGCUGCAUGGUUGUCGUCAGCUCGUGCCGUGAGGUGUCGGGGUUAAGUCCCAUAACGAGCGCACCCUCAUCGUUAGUUACCAGCGGGUCAAGCCGGGGGACUCUAACGAGACUGCCACCGUAAGGUGAGAGGAAGGUGGGGGAUGACGUCAAAUCAGCACGGCCCUUAUAUCCAGGGCUACCCACGUGUUACAAUGGGCCGAUACAAAGGGCAGCUACCGGG